rnacentral:rRNA from 1 species
AAUGGCAGGUCAGCAUACUGCCGUGAAUAACGUUCCCGGGCCUUGUACACACCGCCCGUCACACCAUGAGAGUUGGAGAUACCCGAAGCCUAUGAGCUAACUUUUAGAGGCAGUAGUCGAAGGUAGAAUCAAUGAUUGGGGUGAAGUCGUAACAAGGUACC